rnacentral:rRNA from 1 species
AUGUGAUCGUCUCUCGCAUAUCAAUAAGCGGAGGAAAAGAAACUAACAAGGAUUCCCCUAGUAACGGCGAGUGAAGCGGGAAGAGCUCAAAUUUGAAAUCUUAAAGGGUUUUCCCUUUACGAAUUGUAGUUUAAAGAAGUGUUUUCUGUUGAGGUUUUGGUAAAAGUUCUUUGGAAUAGGACAUCAUAGAGGGUGAGAAUCCCGUAUUUGACCUUUACUUUCAACUUUGUGAUACACUUUCCAAAGAGUCGGAUUGUUUGGGAAUGCAGUCCAAAAUGGGUGGUAAAUUUCAUCUAAAGCUAAAUAUUGGCGAGAGACCGAUAGCGAACAAGUACCGUGAGGGAAAGAUGAAAAGAACUUUGAAAAGAGAGUUAAACAGUACGUGAAAUUGUCAAAAGGGAAGCGUUUGACACCAGUGUUGUUUUUCUGAAAAUCAAUUAAAGAACUGUUUAUGCUAAGCUGUUUAGACUUUAUCAGCUAUCUGUUUAGUUUUUAGGCUUUUCUUUAAUGCACUUUUCAGUUAACAAGUCAACAUCAAUUUCUUUUGCUGUAAAAAAGCUUGAGGAAGGUGGCUUGAGAUUCGUCUUAAGUGUUUAUAGCCUCUUGCCUAUGCAGUCGGAGAGAUUGAGGUCUGCAGCGUAGAUCCUUCGGGGCUAAAUGCAUUUGUGCUAAGUUAUAGCAUUUUAUAGACGACUUGUUGACUAUGAUUUGUCUUGUAGCUUACUCGCUUAUGUUAUUUUACCUACGCUUAGGAUGUUGAUCUACAGAGCGAGAGU